GAGCAACGUAAAUCUAUAAUUUACACAAACAUCUAAGUCAACGAUGAAGAAGUUUGUCUGGUUGAUUGGUUUGUUGCUUGAUUUGUGUGAUGCAGCCAACUUUGGAUGCUGUGGUAUAAAAGAAGGAGUUUGCAUAAAAUGUUGUCAAAGUUAUCACAUGGACAAUGGAAAAUGUCAAGAAUGUCCACCAGGGUAUUCCGGUGACAAAUGCAAUAUAAAGUGUGUUUAUCCUUGAUAUGGAAGACUAUGUGGAUCCUCUUGCAGCAAUGAUCCCAACAACUGUUCCAGAGAUGACUGCCAUCCUGCUCUGGGAUGUCAAAGCCAUGGCCUUCAAACUUCAACGACACUUAACAAAGACUCGCAAGUGGGAACUUCAGAAUUUAUUCAAAGACAUAGGGAAGAGACAAUAAAUGGUAGCGGACUUUUCACUAACAUGCCCAUAGGUUCUUCAAGAAAACAGACCAACCAUGUUGUAACAAGACCAAUGGCUACUAUAUAUAUUAAUACAUCAGCCAGAGAAGUCCUUGGGACGCGUUGUAAUUCCAAAGACUCACUCUUGUCGGCCUCUAUCGUAAAAUCACUCGGAUAUACCCUCGCAAUGAGCUUUCUUGUCAUUUUGGGACUAAUUUGUCUCUUGAUUUUAAAGAGAAGACGUGGCAGCUUGUCUGGCAAAUCAAUGACUGUUUCACAACCAAGUGAACAGGAGUUCAGAUUGUUAAGUGCCAGAUCCCACCAAAAUGUUGACCGUGGUUUAGUUGCUAGUAGCAACAGCAUCAACAAUCCUCCAGUUUAUCAAGAUCACUCUAAGAUUGUCCGAUUAAGUGAAGCAGACAGCAUGGGUGAAACGGAGUCUGUUAGAGAAUCCAGAAACACAAUCGUGUAUAUGCAUAAGGGAUGCUUAUCUGUCCAAAACACUGAUCAUACAACAUCUGUAGACAACCCAUAUUAUGAUGAAAUAGGUUCAAAUGAGGCUUGAAGGAAAAUUCUUAACUGUAGGUCUAACACUUACUUGCGCUGUGACAAAGGCAAUACAAAUUCAUAAAUGACUAGACUUUGACCCGUGCGUGCACGGGUUGACAUUGCGUAUCGUACAUUUACGAAAUAGGUACAUCGACACACCUAAUUAUUGACAUUUACAUAACAAAGCUAUAUAUAAGCCUACAAUAAUGCUAUUAAUUUCAAUACACUUUCCUAAGUUGAAUACUCUGUGUCUCGGGAAAGGCCCUCACCACAGUUAUAAUGCCUCCCUUAUAACCGUAAUGAAGCAGAAAAUUGCAGAAUCGCUCCGGAACGAAUUUGGAGACAGUUAAUGAGGUUGCCUUGAAAAUGACAGUCAAAUUCAUAACAACAAACCUUUCUGAGACUGCAAAUACCUUUCAACUAAAAAUUUUAAUCCAUAGAAUGGAAGAAUUCAACACCUUUUCACCAACGUAGACGUAUUUUCUUUGUAAAACUGGGUCCAUAUGACAUUAUUCAUUUUUACGAUAAAACAUAUUCUAUCUUAACUCUCCUAACAAAUGUAAUGUAACUUUUUUGCAUGUAAUCAAAUAUUUUUUGUCAUCACGAAGACAAAAGUAAGUACUUAGUUGAAAUGCAUAUUUGUUAUUUUAUACUUUCUCUCAUAAGAAAUCAUUAAUAUAUAUGAACAGAAUGUAUAACAAAAGUCCAAUAAAAAUUUACCAGUAUUUGUAUUAUCAUUUCUGAGUUUAUUCAUGCAGAU